GAUGAACGCUGACAGAAUGCUUAACACAUGCAAGUCUUUGGCGAAGCUGUGCUUGCACAGCCUAGCCAAGGCGGACGGGUGAGUAGCGCGUAAGGAACUUGCCCUGCAGUCAGGGAUAACAGACGGAAACGACUGAUAAGACCUGGUAAAGUCAGGCGGACUCAUGUCCAGCCUGAUGAAAAGAGAUGCUGCAGGAGAGCCUUGCGUCCUAUUAGCUUGUUGGUGGGGUAACGGCCCACCAAGGCGAUGAUAGGUAGCCGGCCUGAGAGGGUGGACGGCCACAAGGGGACUGAGAUACGGCCCUUACUCCUACGGGAGGCAGCAGUGGGGAAUAUUGGACAAUGGGGGCAACCCUGAUCCAGCAAUUCUGUGUGCACGAUGAAGGUUUUCGGAUUGUAAAGUGCUUUCAGCAGGGAAGAAAAAAAUGACGGUACCUGCAGAAGAAGCGACGGCUAAAUACGUG
rnacentral:rRNA from 1 species